rnacentral:tRNA from 1 species
GCCGCUUAGCUCAUCUGGUAGAGCAGUUGAUUUGUAAUCAUCAGGUGGCGGGUUCGAGUCCUGCAGCCGGCACCA